rnacentral:tRNA from 1 species
GGGGAUGUAGCUCAGAUGGGAGAGCGCUCGCUUAGCAUGUGAGAGGUACGGGGACCGGUACCCCGCUUUUCCA